GGUGGAAGAACGGUGCAAGCGGGAAAUGAAAGGCGAGGCGGUGCGGUUCGGAGCCCCGGAGCUGCGGGCACCGGCGUUAAUUGGAGGGCAGAGGGGCGGGGGGACACGGGGGCGUUCGCAAGUGAUGCGGGUUUUUUUUACGCAAAUUCUCCGGUCUAGACAGAGGAGUUUUUAGGAAUGGGCUUGUGUUCUCAGGCGCCGUUACAGAUAUGUCAUUUUCGAGCAACAUCCCAGUGAUGGUCGCGAGAGCGGCCUGCGUGAUGCAGCGCGUGAUGCGCUCGCUCAUCUGGCGCUGGUCCUCGCCCAAAUAACAGUUCAUCACCGCCAGCGGAACGCGGAGCAGAGUGCCUCCAACCACAAACCUCGUUGCUUCGCUGGAUGGAAAAUUUCUCCACCCACCUGCUGAAUUCGAGUGCAGGUGAUGGUCUCAGAAAGUUGUUUUUUUUUUUUUUUUUUCAAAGUCGUAGAGCUUCUUUUAAAGUGACAAGUUGCAUUUAUGUUGGCCAAUUUAGAGGGACAACCUCAGGCAGUGAAUAGCAAUGAAGGGAAGGAAUGAACCCCUAAUUCCAAAGUGUGUCUCAGCGUGGCCAUAUCUCUCACCUGGCACAGACUCAGUGGGACUCACCAGGGCUAGGGAGCAUUACCACAAAGAAGACAGUAAGUAAUUAUUUAAAUGGAACAGCAUAAAAAGUCAUGUUUGUAGUAAACCCAGCGCAGAGAAGGGGUUGGUAAGGGAAUAAGUUUGUCUGCCUUGGCGUUAUUCCGCACCCAGAGGGGCCUGCUCUCUCCUGAGCACGGAUCCAAGCACCAACGCUCAAUCCCAAACACAUACCUGUGCAAGAGACAGCAAUGGGGAAGGCUCGUUAUCCAUCCUUCCACGGGAUUAUCAACUCUUCAGGGAUGAAAGAUUUAUUAUUCCUGUGUCCUGGGCCUAAUUCCAAUUCAUCCUGAACAGGUCUAGGUUUUGAAGGCAUAACAAUAGCACUCUGGAAAUUUGCAGACAAAAUACAGGAAGAUUGUCGAUAAAAUGAUGUGCUGAAUGGCUUUACAGGGAGAAGAAGGUUUUGGGAGGGAGGGAAAAAUGCUUAGUAGGGGGGCUGUAGGGGUAUGGUGGGACUCCAGAUGCUGUUGUUGAGACAGGAAGCUUCCGUUUAAACAUGGAUCACGCAAAUUCUCUGUUGUCUGUCUGCCUGUCUCGUCCUGCCUAUCUUCCACAGCUCAGCACUGACUAAUCUUGUGGUCUGAAACCUCAGAAUGUUUCUGUUUUCAGUGUUUCUGUUCCUAGCCCUGAUACUGAUUUCUUACGAGACUCUGCCUAUCUCGUACCUAUCUGGAGCCCUAAGCUGGUGACCGAGCAGCCGUGUGCAAAUGCCGGAGGCAGGGGGGCUUCCCCUCAAGUUAAAAGAUGGCAGUUACAUGAUUAGUUUUAUGGCAUUUUAAUUUGAGACUUGUCUUUGAUUUUUUUUUUUUUUUUCCCCUGCCUUGAUUUCUCUGUUCAUAAAAUGAAGAUACGUCUCUCCAGGUCUGAGCUGUUAGCAUACACUCUAUACCUCGGAUCAUAAAUACAUAUCACUGCUUUCAGCUCAUCUAAAUUAGUUUGCUUUUCUUUUUCCCAGGGAAACAUUUCAGGCAGGUCUCAGCAUUGCUUAAUUGACUAUGAGAUUACCGCUUUGCACCAUUCCUUUCUAUUUCUUUCUUUUUUUUUUUUUUUCCUCCACAAAAUAAAGGCAAUUAACGUGGCUGGUCUGUAAUGGCAUUUAUUUUCAAAGAUAAGCAUCACCAUAGUAGACCCUUUUCUAAUCAUAGAAUCACAGAAUCUGUUGGAAGGUACCUCUGGAGACCAUCUAGUCCAACCCCCCUGCCUCCCUAUUCUUAGUAGGGGCUUAUUUAACAACAUUUCUCUUACCAUAUUGGUCUGUGAAAAUGGCACAAAUUGUCAUGGUGCCAUGUUACAUGGAAAGCUUGAAAUUUUAUUGCAAGCCGGAGAAGAUAUUUUUCUAUUUAUGUGUGACAUAAACUAAUCGCAAAGGUCCGAUGGGGAGUUGUUCUGCGUUCAGACUCAGAAAGUCCCAUAAUCGGGAGCUGGAAACCAUCUGUUUGUUGCAGAUCAAAAUGCAGUUAACGUGCACGGACAGAAGACUGCAGUCGCUAAUGGCUGACGGGCCAAAUUCGAACCCGUCUGCUUCCGCGAGCGGAGUUAGUCAGUCGAGGGGCUGAAGUGAUGAAGUGACUUUCCAUGGACGCGUGUGAAGCUGAUGAACUAUGGAGCUUUUGUAGCUUAUCGGUGGGGAAACUGAGGCACGUGGUAGCUGCAUGCCCGGCAAAAGCGUGUCAAUAACCAGUAAUGAGAGAGGAGUGCUCCCUCUGUUCAGACUAUUCAGCUUUUUGCAUGGCUGCCCACGUGGCCAGGUAUUUGCCAUUAAAUAAGGUGAUUAAUUCCUCGACAAGUUGCUAUCUGGCCUAGCAGCCCAGCAUUUCCUUUCGGCAUCUGUGGCUGCUUUGAGGAAUGCAGCUUCAUAGAUUUUUACUAAUUAUCUAAUAGCUUUUCAAUCUCUUGUUUCAGUACGUGGAACUGGUGUUAAUUAAUCGCAGAUCUUCGGCAUACCAUUCUUAACUGAUUCCCCCCAGUAAAUAUGUUUAACACUUGCCUUGGUUUCCUGUACAUGAUUCAUUCGGUUGGGAGAAGAAACGGAGUCAAAUAAGCACGCAACGGUAAUGCAGCCAAAGAAGAACCACGGCCUGGGUUUCUUUCACCAAUAAAAAGUUGUGCAAGCUUCAAUUUCCCUUUCAUUUUCCUAAAGAACAUGCUGGAAACAUCUAUUCAGCCAAAGACGUGAAAUUAAAACAAAGAAACAAAAACAGCUUGAAAGGAGGAAAGAAGGCACUUUCCCAGCUUAUGCCUUAAUUAAGACCAGUCAAAGAAAACUGCUUCAAAAGGAAGGAGGAAGCCGGCGGUAAGCACGGCUGCAACUGCUUUUAAUAGGCUCUAGCAAUGGCAUGCACGCUAGACAAAGUCAUGGCAGGCAUUAAUGCAACAAUGUCAGUUCAAAGGGUACGCCAAAAAAGUUGGCAAACCCGAAGUUACUGAAUAGUAAAACUGUUUCACGAGCAGAUUUGUCAGCAGCAGUAGGGGACAAAGGAGCUUGUUUAGCAGAACACGAUCGUCUCGAGAAUUAUAAACACCCCUGGUUUAAAGAUAAAAUCAAAGGCCUUGAGAGCAAAGCAGAAGUAGACAUAAAAAUAUGCAUAGCUGGCUUUCCUGAAGGCGAGGAGGUUUGCAUCCUUGUCUAACAAUUCGGAAAGAAGCUGUUAAGUGCCCCAGGUCGCUCUUCCACCCUCAGCUCCCGCUCUUCCCCCGGAUAAAAGCCUGCGCAGAACUGCACGAAUAUGCGGCGGCACUGGUAGGCUUUCUGCGCACCCCACCAGCAGCGGAGAUCUGGGAAUCUGUCAGGAGAAUUUAUUCCCUUC